rnacentral:lncRNA from 1 species
UUUUGCUUCAAUUUUUAAUUUUUUUAAUUAAUUUUGUUUGAUUUCAAUUUUUCUUCACGGAUUUAGCUUUAUUUUUUUAAUUUUUUCAUCGAUUUUCAAUUUUUCUUCACCAAUUUUUCUUGGUUUGAUUUUAAUUUUUUUUAUUGAUUUUGUUUGAUUUAAAUUUUCCUUCACUGAUUUAGCUUUAUUUUUCAAUUUUUCUUCUUCGAUUUUGUUUGAUUUUUAUUUUUUCUUCGUUGAUGUUGCUUAUUUUUUAUUUUUCUUCAUCAAUUUUGCCCUUAAUGAUUUAAAAAAAGGUGCUUAUUAUUUAAUCUUCACGAACCUUUAAAUGCAUAUAUAAAUUUUUCUCAAAAAUUCUUACCAUUAAAUAAAUUAAGAUUGACAUAAAUAACGAAUAAAAAUAUGAAAGAAGUACAAAUUACUGAGCAUUGAGUUAAUAUAUUAUUUUUGGCAAGGCGAACUCCUAAAUGUGUAUCUAAUUUUUAAAAUCUCUCCCAAUAAUUUUCACCAUUAAUUAAGCUUAAGAUUGACAAAAAUGAUGGAUAAAAAUAAGAAAAAAAGGUAUAAAUUAAUGAAAAUGAGUUAGUAUACUUUUGAUGGGCCAAAUUGGGCGCCACAUCAGCCAAAAAAAGGCUUUCACGCGCCUUCAUAGAGGUGUG